AAGAGUCUGGGAAAGCUGCUGAAGCCAAACAAGGUACUACAAAAGGAGCCACACAAGCAACAUCUAAAAAAGAAGAAAAGAAAGAAGGCUCUAAGAUAACGAAGACAGCAGAUGCAGAGCGUUCCAAGGAAAA